rnacentral:lncRNA from 1 species
CAAAGAUCCGUCUAGGCAAAGCUAUGGUUUUUCCAGCAGUCCUGUAUGAAAGUCAGAGUUGGACCAUAAAGAACACUGAGCACUGAAGAAUUGAUGCUUUUGAACUGUGGUGUUGGAGAAGACUCCUGAGAGUCCCUUGGACUGCAAGGAGAUCCAACCAGUCCAUCCUAAAGGAAAUCAGUCCUGAAUAUUCAUUGGAAGGACUGAUGCUGAAGCUGAAGCUCCAAUACUUUGGCCACCUGAUGAGAAGAGCUGACUCAUGGGGAAGGACCCCAAUGCUGGGAAAGAUUGAUGAGGGAGGAGAAGGGGACAGACAGAGGAUGAGUCGGUUGGAUGGCAUCACUGACUCGAUGGAAUGAGUUUGAGUAAACUCCAGGAGUCGGUGAUGAACAGGGAGGCCUGGUGUGCUGCAGUCCAUGGGGUUGCAGAGUCGGACGUGACUGAGCAGCUGGACUGAAGUGUCUUUUUAAUUUCAUAGCUGCAGUCACUGUCUGUGGUGAUUUUGGAGCUCAAGAAAGUAAAGUCUGCCGCUGUUUCCAUUUUUUCAGCAUCUCUUCGCCAUGAACUGAUAGGACUGGAUGCCAUGAUCUUAGUUUUCUGAAUGCUGAGUUUUAUGCCAGCUGGUUCCUAUGAAACACAUCGUGCACAACGCCAUCAGGCAUGGGACUGAAAAUCAUUUCCACUCCCCACUGUCUCAUCCUUUAUUUGAUCAUGGAGUGUUUGAUACACUGCCUCAGAGGCAAUAAGAAGAAGCAAAGAACAGUUGUCUUUCUUCCAAGAUACAUGGGUCGGCACAGAUGUCGUAUCUCAAGAAAGAAACCUGUUUGCUGCAUCUGCUACAGCCUGAAUUCAUUUACAAUCCUGACGUGAUUGAAGUCUGCCUGGUUACACGACACUCAAGCCUCUCGCAAAGAUGCUCAGUGCAGAGGGGAGUCGGGGAAGGGCAGGGAACACACAGGCGCCUCCAGCUUUGCAGAAGAGUCAUGUUAGCUCCUUUCUUCAAACCUCCCAAGGCUCCUGUCACCUUAAAAAAAAAUGCAGAACAUGAGAAGUGCGAGUUAAGUUUUCUUUGGGGCAAAUGAGAAGUGCAGCCUGUGAGACAGCUCCUCAGAUAACUCUGCGAGACUGCUCCAUAGAGGCAGGGGGAGGGUCAGUAUGGAUGUGAUUUUGGUGGAGAGGGUAUACAUGCCAAUCAAACACCUAAUUUUUUGUAGAAAAAUGUUUGCUAGUCA